GAUGAACGCUGGCGGCGUGCCUAAUACAUGCAAGUCGAGCGAACGGACGAGAAGCUUGCUUUUCUGAUGUUAGCGGCGGACGGGUGAGUAACACGUGGAUAACCUACCUAUAAGACUGGGAUAACUUCGGGAAACCGGAGCUAAUACCGGAUAAUAUUUUGAACCGCAUGGUUCAAAAGUGAAAGACGGUCUUGCUGUCACUUAUAGAUGGAUCCGCGCUGCAUUAGCUAGUUGGUAAGGUAACGGCUUACCAAGGCAACGAUGCAUAGCCGACCUGAGAGGGUGAUCGGCCACACUGGAACUGAGACACGGUCCAGACUCCUACGGGAGGCAGCAGUAGGGAAUCUUCCGCAAUGGGCGAAAGCCUGACGGAGCAACGCCGCGUGAGUGAUGAAGGUCUUCGGAUCGUAAAACUCUGUUAUUAGGGAAGAACAUAUGUGUAAGUAACUGUGCACAUCUUGACGGUACCUAAUCAGAAAGCCACGGCUAACUACGUGCCAGCAGCCGCGGUAAUACGUAGGUGGCAAGCGUUAUCCGGAAUUAUUGGGCGUAAAGCGCGCGUAGGCGGUUUUUUAAGUCUGAUGUGAAAGCCCACGGCUCAACCGUGGAGGGUCAUUGGAAACUGGAAAACUUGAGUGCAGAAGAGGAAAGUGGAAUUCCAUGUGUAGCGGUGAAAUGCGCAGAGAUGUGGAGGAACACCAGUGGCGAAGGCGACUUUCUGGUCUGCAACUGACGCUGAUGUGCGAAAGCGUGGGGAUCAAACAGGAUUAGAUACCCUGGUAGUCCACGCCGUAAACGAUGAGUGCUAAGUGUUAGGGGGUUUCCGCCCCUUAGUGCUGCAGCUAACGCAUUAAGCACUCCGCCUGGGGAGUACGACCGCAAGGUUGAAACUCAAAGGAAUUGACGGGGGCCCGCACAAGCGGUGGAGCAUGUGGUUUAAUUCGAAGCAACGCGAAGAACCUUACCAAAUCUUGACAUCCUUUGACAACUCUAGAGAUAGAGCCUUCCCCUUCGGGGGACAAAGUGACAGGUGGUGCAUGGUUGUCGUCAGCUCGUGUCGUGAGAUGUUGGGUUAAGUCCCGCAACGAGCGCAACCCUUAAGCUUAGUUGCCAUCAUUAAGUUGGGCACUCUAAGUUGACUGCCGGUGACAAACCGGAGGAAGGUGGGGAUGACGUCAAAUCAUCAUGCCCCUUAUGAUUUGGGCUACACACGUGCUACAAUGGACAAUACAAAGGGCAGCGAAACCGCGAGGUCAAGCAAAUCCCAUAAAGUUGUUCUCAGUUCGGAUUGUAGUCUGCAACUCGACUACAUGAAGCUGGAAUCGCUAGUAAUCGUAGAUCAGCAUGCUACGGUGAAUACGUUCCCGGGUCU
rnacentral:rRNA from 1 species